rnacentral:rRNA from 1 species
GCUGGGUAGCCAAGUGCGGACGGGAUAAGCGCUGAAAGCAUCUAAGCGUGAAGCCCCCCUCAAGAUGAGAUUUCCCAGUAUGUAAGACCCCUUGAAGACGACGAGGUAGAUAGGUUCGAGGUGGAAGUGCAGCAAUGCGUGGAGCUGACGAAUACUAAUCGGUCGAGGGCUUAUCCAA